UUUCUUACGACACAUUGAUUUUCUUUUUUUCUUAUAGCUGUAGAAGAAAUGAGGUUUUUUGUUUUACAUCUUUUUUCAAACUGUCGAUCAUAUUGUUCAUAUUCUAGUUAAAAUGCACAGUUUUUCUACUUCUUAGUGUCGAUGGUUGAGAUGGGAAGCAUUGCAUUUACUUGGCUGUAAGGAUUUUUUGGUUUCUUUCUCGAUUUUUCCGUAGAUUUUUAAAUAUAUGUAUGUGAUUUUUAUAUUACCAAGUCGAGUGUUUCAAUCAGGCCACGGAUUUCUUAGGACAGUUUUUUGCUUGAUAAAUAGAGUUGUUCUUUAAGAUGCCUUCUAGUUUUCUGAUCAGAGUGUUUUGUUGAGUUGAGGUUUGGAGGAAAGGCCAUAUUCUUGUUUAUGAACACCUCAGGUGUUCUUUGACCUUUUGAAAAGACAUGUCUGCUUUCUUUAAUGUCUUCGAAUCUGCCUGUGUCUUGGUUUGGAGGAAAGGCCUAAUUUAGAGUGAAACUAAUUUAUCUGAUUGAUCAUUUGUGUAUGAUAUCAAACAUCAUGGUAAAGUUAGCAUAUAAACUGCGUCUUUUAAAAUCAUAUAAAUUUCUUAGUUUUUAAUUUGACUAGCAUUUUGUAUCUCCUGUUUAUUCUUAUGUAGGAUUUUUGAAUUUUGUCUAAGGCUCUAAGCUUGCUAAUGCUUGACAUUGGAGUGUGUACAAGUUAUGUUAUCUCUGUUUCAUUGAUCUCGAUCUCUUCUGAGCCCUAUGCUCUGCUACCGUAUGAUGGAUUCAAUGCAGUUGCUUCUGUAACAGCUGGUAGAUUAUCUCAUUAGAUAAAAAAGUUAGGAGCUUGCUUGAUUCAUGAAAGAACCUGUGCCCCACUUUCUGAAAUGUGUGUUGGAACACUUUAAAUAGCUCCUAAAAAGUUCCUAACAUUGUUGUUCCUCUUUACUCUAAUGAUCUGGGUUCUACAAAACACAAAACAUGCAUAUUAAUCAACAUGUAAACAAAAAAUCAACAUGCAGUACUUGUUGAUAGAAAAUAGACUUGAAGAAGUAGAUUGAGGCAAUGAUCAAUCAUCUGGUCUUAAAACAAUUUAUUGUUUGCUCUUUAGUGCUAGUAAUGUGAUUGCAUUAUUGUUUCUUGGGCUUACUUGAUCUCAUAUUCUUGGCAGCAUAACCAAGAAUAAACAGCGAAUCAAAAUUUAUAUGUUACUUUCUGGAAGAAUUUUGAUAGAAGGAAUACAAAAGAGAGUUUUAGAAAGACUUGAAGUUUUCUCAUUAUUAAAACCAUGUCAUAAUUGUCUCUUUUUACAGGCAAUUUUGACAGUUAAAAACGUAACUUUUAAAACAAAAGGAUACAACUUUCUAGUUUAAAAGGACACAACUCUAUUUAAAGUAGAGUUUAACAAUCUGAUCUUUGAAUAAGUAGAAUCGGUCUUGCUCUACACUUUAUAUUAUCGCUUUUUGUUUCUUGUGAAACCAAAAUUUGUCGACGAGUUAUAGCUUUUUCCGCCACAUUUUUUCUUGUUGCUGAUUGUAGUUUUGUUUUAAUAUUAAAUACCUAGGUAUGUUAUAAUGAUGAUUUUUUGACAAGGAUGAUACUGUGAUGGAGUCAAGGUUGAUUUGUUUGUUGCUUGUUGUUGAAUGAUUGUCGAUCAUUUUAACAUUCUAAAAUGGUUUUGAUAGUAUGGAAUAUGUUGGGACAAUUCCAAACUCACCUCGAUUGUUAUGUAUAGUCUUACUCCAAGAUGCAUGUUGUUCUGAUUUCUUGAAUAUGGAUGAAGAUAAGUCCUUGUAGAAGCCCACAGCUGAUAUGUAUGGUUAGUUUUGUCCACAUGAACGGAUACAAGCUUUGGCCACAGUGCUAGCUAGUUUGCAUUGAAGGGCAUAUAUAUGGGUCUUCUGAUUACUACAUUUCAAGAGCAUAACUGCAUGAAGAUCUGAAGUUUGGGUUAACCCUUGCCUGCUGCUGUAGAAGCUUUGCUUCUAAUUUAGUGAUCGCCUCAUGACUAUCAUUUUAAGUUGCUUUUUAAUAGCCCUCACAUGAACUGGAUUGUCUUGAAGCAUCCUUUCUAUGGUAAUUGUUCCUUCCUGAAAUCAACCUGCUAUCUGUCAUAUAAGUACUAAAAUUUGAUCUGUUGAGCACUUGAGAGUCAGAUGGCCUAAGGACAUUUACUGAAGUGGAGAUCUGUGUGAGUUGCGAAUAUUUAUAUUAAUUUCCUUGCCUUCUUUUCAGUUGGUUGACGAGGCACCAUGUGGUUUUGGUGCAUUGUUGGGCAUUCUCCGAUGUAAGCGUCUUUCAGGAUGCUGCUAUGUCUAUACAGGAUUGCAAGGGAAUGCUUUAUUUGUUGUGUACUAUGAUGUUAUGCCUAAUGAAAUCCUUGGCAGAAAAAGGAAAUCAAUAUAAUUGAAACAGCGAGGAUCAUGAAUUAAUCUAGAUUUAGGACGUCCACGUUAAGUGUGUAGCAAUUUUAUGGAUCACUUGAUUGUUGUGAUUGAUAUGUGCAUACUGCAUAGGCUAUUCAUCUGCAUAUCCAAUUGAUAUUACGGAACUUGAGGGACAAAGUUGUUGUACAUGGAUCAUGUUGCUGGCUUAAUCUUAUGAUUUACUAGGAAACAUUAAGGUGGAACUUUCCUCUGGUGUAUGAUCUGGUCUUACUGGUUGGAAGAUCUCACUCCUUAUUUGUAGGUUGGUGCGCAUGUAUCAGAUGGUGUAGUGAUAUAAGCAACUGUUGAUCAAUGUCCUCGGGCGUGCCAGAUCGAGGUCUUUGCAUGCUGGAAGUUUGGGUACUAGUCACACCCUAGCAUCAAAGCAUAUAUUUGAGGGGUGUUUUAAAUUUAGUUGCAUGUAGUUUAUAUCUAGCUACAGACACCUGUGUCUGUACGAAGCUCUUACAGGACAUAGCAUUUGAGCCCAAAUGGAUUGAAGUAUUCUAAACUUCAUCGGAAUAAGAUACUCUAGUUUCAGUGAUCUUGUUUUGUUCCGAGUUUUAUUUCAAUACAUGAUGAUGGCGGCGCUGAGGUAGAGCUUGGAUAUGCACAAUUCACAACAAUAACAUAAGAAAUAUUGCUCGAAUGAUU